CGCUGGCGGCGCGCCUAACACAUGCAAGUCGAACGAUUAAAGCGCCUUCGGGCGUGUAUAAAGUGGCGAACGGCUGAGUAACACGUGGGCAACCUGCCCCUCGCACCGGGACAGCCUCGGGAAACUGGGAGUAAUACCGGAUACUCCGCCACCCCCGCAUGGGGGAGGCGGGAAAGCCUUUACGGCGAGGGAUGGGCCCGCGGCCUGUUAGCUCGUUGGUGGGGUAACGGCCCACCAAGGCGAUUAUGGGUAGCUGGGUUGAGAGACCGACCAGCCAGAUUGGGACUGAGACACGGCCCAAACUCCUACGGGAGGCAGCAGUGGGGGAUCUUGCACAAUGGGCGAAAGCCUGAUGCAGCGACGCCGCGUGCGGGAUGAAGGCCUUCGGGUUGUAAACCGCUUUCAGUGGGGACGAGGCCGCGAGGUGACGGUACCCACAGAAGAAGCCCCGGCUAACUACGUGCCAGCAGCCGCGGUAAUACGUAGGGGGCAAGCGUUAUCCGGAUUCAUUGGGCGUAAAGCGCUCGUAGGCGGUCCGUUAGGUCGGGAGUUAAAUCCGGGGGCUCAACCCCCGCCCGCUCCCGAUACCGGCGGACUUGAGUUUGGUAGGGGAAAGUGGAAUUCCCAGUGUAGCGGUGGAAUGCGCAGAUAUUGGGAGGAACACCAGUGGCGAAGGCGGCUUUCUGGGCCACAACUGACGCUGAGGAGCGAAAGCUAGGGGAGCGAACAGGAUUAGAUACCCUGGUAGUCC
rnacentral:rRNA from 1 species